rnacentral:rRNA from 1 species
UACGGAGGGUGCGAGCGUUGUCCGGAAUCACUGGGCGUAAAGGGCGCGUAGGUGGCGCGAGUAGUCAACGGUGAAAGCCCCGGGGGCUCAACCCCCGGGGUCGGCCGUCGAUACUCUCGUGCUUGAGCACUGUAGAGGCAGGUGGAAUUCCGGGGUGUAGCGGUGGGAAUGCGUAGAGAUCCGGAAGAACACCGGGUGGCGAAGGCGGGCCUGC